UAAUCAAACAUAUCUUAAUUUGUGUUCUGAAGAUGUGUGGAACAACAUGAGGGUUCAGUCAGUCAUUACUGACGGGUAUGAACAAAAACUUAAAGAACCUGUCUCAGACUUUAAUGUGUUUCUGCAUGAUGUAGAAUUUCACCGGAAAAUAAUCACCCCCACGGUCCACAGGAGCACACAGAAUGGGUAUUAUCAUUUUCAAUUAAGUUAAAAUGGUAUGAAUUAC